rnacentral:rRNA from 1 species
AGAUGCUACGGCAUCGAAGCAGUCUAUGUCAUACUUCCAAGAAAAGCUUGCACUGUCAUAAACAAAGAAUGCCUGUACCAUAACCGACACAGGUGGGUAGGUAGAGUAUACUAAGGGGCGCGAGAUAACUCUCUCUAAGGAGCUCGGCAAAAUGACUCCGUAACUUCGGGAGAAGGAGUGCCUUAUUUCUAAGGUUGCAAUAACAAGAUCCAAGCAACUGUUUACCAAAAACACAGGUCUCCGCUAAGUCGUAAGACGAUGUAUGGGGGCUGACGCCUGCCCAGUGCCAGAAGGUUAAAGAAGUUGGUUAGCAUUAGCGAAGCUGAUAACUGAAGCCCUGGUGAACGGCGGCCGUAACUAUAACGGUCCUAAGGUAGCGAAAUUCCUUGUCGGGUAAGUUCCGACCCGCACGAAAGGCGUAAUGAUUUGGAUACUGUCUCGGAGAGGGGCUCGGUGAAAUAGACUUGUCUGUGAAGAUGCGGACUACCUGCACCUGGACAGAAAGACCCUAUGAAGCUUUACUGUAACUUGAGAUUGAAAUUGGACUUUAUUUGCGCAGUAUAGGUGGGAGGCGUUGAGAAUAAUCUUGCGGGAUUGUUGGAGCCAUCAGUGAGAUACCACUCUUGUAAUGUUAGAUUUCUAACUUUGUAUCAUUAUCUGGUCAAAGAACAGUUUCAGGCGGGCAGUUUGGCUGGGGCGGUCGCCUCCCAAAGGGUAACGGAGGCGCACAAAGGUUUCCUCUGAACGGGUAGAAAUCGUAUCUAGAGUGUAAAGGCAUAAGGAAGCUUGACUGUGAGACCUACAAGUCGAGCAGGGACGAAAGUCGGUCUUAGUGAUCUGACGGUGCUGAGUGGAAAGGCCGUCACUCAACGGAUAAAAGUUACUCUAAGGAUAACAGGCUGAUCUCCCCCAAGAGUUCACAUCGACGGGGAGGUUUGGCACCUCGAUGUCGGCUCAUCGCAUCCUGGGGCGGUAGUCCGUCCCAAGGGUUGGGCUGUUCGCCCAUGAAAGCGGUACGCGAGCUGGGUUCAGAACGUCGUGAGACAGUUCGGUCCAUAUCGGGUGUAGGCGUUAGAAUAUUGAGAGGAGCCUUCUCUAGUACGAGAGGACCGAGAAGGACAUACCUCUGGUGUACCAGUUAUCGUGCCAACGGUAAACGCUGGGUAGCUAUGUAUGGAGUGGAUAACCGCUGAAAGCAUCUAAGUGGGAAGCCCACCUCAAGAUAAGUAUUCAC